AACGAACGCUGGCGGCGCGCUUAACACAUGCAAGUCGAACGAGAAGGCGUAGCAAUACGCUUGUACAGUGGCGAACGGGUGAGUAAUACGUGGGCGACCUACCCUCGAGUGGGGAAUAACCCGCCGAAAGGCGGGCUAAUGCCGCGUACGCUUCCAUCUUUAUGGAGGUGGAAGGAAAGCCGUGCCGUGGGCACGGCGCUCAAGGAUGGGCUCACGUCCUAUCAGCUUGUUGGAGGGUAACGGCCUACCAAGGCUCCGACGGGUAGCUGGUCUGAGAGGACGAUCAGCCACACUGGCACUGCGACACGGGCCAGACUCCUACGGGAGGCAGCAGUGAGGAAUAUUGCGCAAUGGGCGAAAGCCUGACGCAGCGACGCCGCGUGGGGGAUGAAGGUCUUCGGAUUGUAAACCCCUUUCGGGAGGGAAGAUGGGACGGGCGAACCGUUCGGACGGUACCUCCAGAAGCAGCCACGGCUAACUUCGUGCCAGC
rnacentral:rRNA from 1 species